rnacentral:rRNA from 1 species
AAAACGGAGAGUUUGAUCCUGGCUCAGGAUGAACGCUGGCGGUAUGCUUAACACAUGCAAGUCGAACGGUGUCUUCGGACACAGUGGCGGACGGGUGAGUAACGCGUGAGAAUCUAGCUUCAGGUCGGGGACAACCACUGGAAACGGUGGCUAAUACCGGAUGUGCCGGAAGGUGAAAGAUUUAUUGCCUGAAGAUGAGCUCGCGUCUGAUUAGCUAGUAGGUGUGGUAAGAGCGCACCUAGGCGACGAUCAGUAGCUGGUCUGAGAGGAUGAUCAGCCACACUGGGACUGAGACACGGCCCAGACUCCUACGGGAGGCAGCAGUGGGGAAUUUUCCGCAAUGGGCGAAAGCCUGACGGAGCAAUACCGCGUGAGGGAGGA